rnacentral:SRP_RNA from 1 species
UCGUGCUAAGCGGGGAGCUAGCGGUGCCCUGUACCCGCAAUCCGCUACAGCGGGGUCUAAUUCCACACUCGAGGCCUGGCUUAUUCGCACCUGCUGGGUCGGCCGACAUUGAUAGCCGGGUUCUACGCGGCGGAGCCCUGCGAACCCCGUCAGAUCCGGAAGGAAGCAGCGGUAAGCGGUAAGCUCCGGGUGCCGUAGAGCAGCCUGGCUUGAGCCGGCAGAUCUUGGUAAGGCGAGUGGGUCCACGUCGACAGCGUGGUGCACGA